GGUUUGUGGCUCAGUGGUAGAGCGUCGCUUAGCACGUGCAAGACCAUGGGUUCAAACCUCAGCACCA
rnacentral:tRNA from 1 species